UUUUUAGAUCUUUGAUCCAUUUUGAGUUCACAUUUGUAUUUGGUGUUAUGUAGGGAUCCAACUGAGUUCUUUAGCAUGUGGAUAUCCACUUUUCUCAGCACCAUUUGUGACAUGUUAUAAUUUUGUUUUAAACAUAUCUAUAUAUCUUUUGUAGGGGCGCCAGGUGGCUCAGUUGGUUGAGCAUCUGACUCUUGAUUUCGGCUCGGGUCAUGAUCUCACAGUUCCCGGUUUCGAGCCCCACACUGGGCUCUGUGCUAACAGCACGGAGCCUGCUUGGGAUUCUCUCUCACUCUCUCUGCCCCUACCCCCACUCAUGCUGUCUCUCUCUCUCUCUCUCUCUCUCUCUCAAAAUCAACAAAUAAACUUUUAAAAAAAUAAUAAACAUACCUAUAUAUCUCUUUUAAUUUAAGAGAAUGGAAAAAUUGUUGUCUUUGUGAAGAGCCAAGUAUCCAAGUGAUAUCACUUUCCUCUGGUUUGAAAAGCUUUUAACUUUUCAUAUGGGGCACAUCUGCUGGCAACAAAUUCUCUUAGUGUACUUUUAUCAGAAAAUGUCUUUAUUUCACUUCUUAAAAGGUGUCUUCGCUCGAUAUAGAAAUUUUUCAAUACUUUACACAUGUCUGUCCAUUGUCUUAUGACGUGUGUGUAUGUGUGUAAUGGAAUAUUGCUCGGUGAUCAAAAAAUAUAUAUAUAUAUAUAGGGGUGCCUGAGUGGCUCAGUCGGUUGAGCAUCCAACUUCAGCUCAGGUCAUGAUCUCACAGUCCGUGAGUUCAAGCCCCGCAUCAGGCUCUGUGCUCAUAGCUCAGAGCCUGGAGCCUGCUUCAGAUUCUGUGUCUCCUAUUCUCUCUGCCCCUCCCCUGCUCAUGCUCUGUCUCUCUCUGUCUCAAAAAUAAAUUUAAAAAAACAUUUAAAAAAUAUACAUACACACACACACACACACACACACACACACACACACACCACAUCUUUAUCCAUUCAUCAGUCAAUAGACAUUUGGGCUCUUUCCAUAAUUUGGCUAUUGUUGAUAGCACUGCUAUAAAUAUUGGAAUAUAUGUGCCCCUUCGAAUCAGCAUUUUUGUGUCCUUUGGAUAAAUACCUAGUAAUGCAAUUGCUGGGUCAUAGGGUUAGCUCUAUUUAUAAUUUUUUGAGGAACCUCCAUACUGUUUUCCAGAGUGGCUGCACCAGUUUGCAUUCCCACCAGCAGUGCAAAAGUGUUUUCUUUCUCCACAUCCUCACCAACGUCUGUUGUUUCUUGAGUUAAUUUUAACCAUUCUGACAGGUGUGAGGUGGUAUCUCAUUAUGGUUUUGCAUUGUAUUUCCCUGAUGAUAAGUGACGUUGAGCAUCUUUUCAUGUGUCUGUUAGCCAUUUGGAUGUCAUCUUUGGAAAAGUGUCUAUUUGUGUCUUCUGCCCAUUUCUUACUGGAUUGUUUGUUUUUUGGGUGUCGUUGUAGUUGUAUUUUAAUGGUCUGCUAAAUUUGAUUUGCUGUUAUUUUAUUCAGGUUAUUUACAUCCAUUUCCAUAGUGGGCCUGGUCUCUUCUUUCUAUGUUUGCUGUUAUUUGAGUAUUAGGUUGUGCUGACUUUAUAAAAAGAAUGGGAAGCAGCUUUGCUUUUUCUGUGACCUGGAAGGUGCACGUUACUUUGAGAGUAAUUCUUGACUCUUUCUCUCAGAUUCUGCCUCAGGCUUUUAGCAGGUAACAUUCUACCUAUCAUUCUACCUUAACAGGUAUCAUUCCACCUUUAAAAUACAUGCAGAAUCCAUUUCCACCAGCACUACCCUGGUCUAAAAUGUUCCUUUCUCUUAUUACAAUAAGCUUGUUCUGAUCUUUGCCCCCUUCCAUUGAGUCACAACACAGCAGCCACAGUGAUCUUUUAAGAUGUAAGUUGGAUUAUUUAACACCACUGUUCCAAGCCCCUCCAGAGGGUUCCUCUCACUCAAAGAGAAAUAUCAAGUACUGACUGGGGCCUACUUCCUUUCUGACCUCACCUCCUACCACUCUUUCGCAGACUCCUCUCUGGCCAAACCCGCCUACUCAUUCUUCAGUCAUGCCAAACAAGUCACGCUCCGGGCCUUUGCACUUCUGCUGAAUUCACUGCUAUCCCACUGCGUAGUUUACUUUCUGUGACCUUCAGGUCUCUGUUCAGGAGUCAGCCUUAUCAAAAAGUUCUUUACCCGUGAUCUAUAGAAAUGAACACUCUACCCCAGGCACUCUCUGUCCCCUACUUUAUUUUAUUUCUUAGCACUUAACAUCACCUGACAGCAGGCUUUGUUUUUGCUUUUGCUUUGCUUACCUUUUGUCCCCCAGUAGGAUGUAAAAACUUUAUUUUUAUUUACUGUAUUCACUUCCCAUGCUUAAAAUAGUUCCUGGAGACUAGACCCCUUCCUAUACCACUAAUAAAUAUUUAUUGACUGAACACAUGAAUGAAUUGAAGGAACUCAGCCUAUAGUAGUUUUGGAAAGAAAAACUUUGACACCUUCCUCCUUUUUCUGUUUUUUCCCUUAUUCUUUCAAAAGGUUUUUUUAGUUCUUGUGUCAAAUGUUUAGGCAGAAUUAUUGAGAUAUAACAAACACAUAGAAUAAGUAACUCACUAGCUUUUUAAAAAUGUUUAUUUACUUUGCGAGAGAGAGAGAAGGGGACAGAGGAUCCAAAGGGGUCUCUGUGCUGACAGCAGACAGCCUGAUGCGGGGCUCAGACUCACAAACUGUGAGAUCAUGACCUGAGCCGAAGUCAGAGGCUUAAUGUACUGAGCCACCCAGACGCCCCAGUAAUUCACUAGCUUUAAAAUAUUCACUUGGAUCCAUUUGCAACUGUGUGGAUGGAACUAGAGGGUAUUAUGCUAAGUGUAAUUAGAGAAAGAUAAAUAUCAUAUGACUUCACUCAUAUGAGGACUUUAAGACACAGAAGAGAUGAACAUAAGGGAAGGGAAGCAAAAAUAAUAUAAAAACAGUGAGAGGGACAAAACAAACCCUCUAUGGAGAAUAAACAGAGGGUUACUGGAGGGGGUGUGGGAGGGGGGAUGGGCUAAAUGGGUAAGGGGCAUUAAGGAAUCUACUCCUGAAAUCAUUGUUGCACUAUAUGCUAAUUUGGAUGUAAAUUUAAAAAAUUAAAAUAAAAUAAAACAGUACAAAAAUAAAUAA